UCUUAAGUCAUUUGGCGUGUUAUUUGACGCAUUUCGUGCUUUUGGCGUACAAUGUCACGCUCUUAAGCGUCCAUUUACUUUCAAUGUGUAGGGAAACGGCGUGUCUAUUUACGCCCAGCACAAAAAUGCUGGGACGGUUUACGCCUGUCCGAAUCUUGAUCUGCCGACAAUGACAAUUUGAUCGAUUGCACAUGUCUGUGCGAAAAGUGGCGAAAUUCGUCAUCAAUUCGCUCCAGCUGAUUGCUGUCAUGUGACGCACGCAACCAGGAAGCGGAAGCGAGAACGAGCCAUGUGGGAUCCUUGCUCCUGAUAUCCUGAAGUAUGGGUUGCAUUUCGUGACGCCAACAGAACACUCACAGAAAGGAGAGUGGUGUCAAACUACAAGACCGCCAGCAUGUAAACAAGGCCUUGUUUGUCCUUGUUUGGAUACUCAUUUGUCUACUUCCUGAAGAGGUUGAAGCAUGCUGGCCUUGAUACCUCAGUCCUUGCUUCAAUUAACAGCUGUGUUAUGGAGCGCAUCCUACAAAGGGCAAUUGGCAGGCAGUGUGCUGUGAGGACUGCUGCCCUGAUUCAUACGGAAGAAGUUCCAAGUUCACUCACUUAUUAGCGAGGUUAACGAGUGGGCUCCAUCAACUGUCCAGGGUGAAGUCGGUCUGUACUGAUUGCACUACCUGCUACUUGAUGAUGUCUGGUAGCCGUGGCUACUGCCCUCAGCCUGGUACACAUGACAUUUACUGCCAAAAGGUACCAUCAGAGCACCUCUCCCUACCCUGCAGGACAUCUAUACCAGAAGAGUACAAGGGCCCAAAAUAUUUCAAAAGACAUUUCACACCCUGACCAUGGACUGUUUAAAC